rnacentral:rRNA from 1 species
GUUUGAUCCUGGCUCAGAACGAACGCUGGCGGCAGGCUUAACACAUGCAAGUCGAACGGCUCGCCCACGAAGUGGGCGAGCAGUUAUCAGUUAUCAGUUAUCAGUUAUCAGUAAAGAUUAAGCGCAUUUGCUCUCUUCUUACUGUCAACCGUCAACUGUCAACUGUCAACUGCUCGCCCUUUUCGUGGGCGAGCAGUGGCACACGGGUGAGUAACGCGUGGGAACGUGCCCUUUGGUGGGGAAUAACGUCGGGAAACUGACGCUAAUACCCCAUACGCCCUAUGGGGGAAAGUUUCUUUUGGAAUCUUGAACUGUGGAACUGUAGAACUGUGGAACUUCAUCUUAAGUUCUAAAGUUCCAGAUUCCACAGUUCCAGGUUCCAGUUUGAUUCGCCAAAGGAUCGGCCCGCGUCAGAUUAGCUAGUUGGUGGGGUAAUGGCCUACCAAGGCUCCGAUCUGUAGCUGGUCUGAGAGGACGGCCAGCCACACUGGAACUGAGACACGGUCCAGACUCCUACGGGAGGCAGCAGUGGGGAAUAUUGGACAAUGGGGGAAACCCUGAUCCAGCCAUGCCGCGUGAGUGAUGAAGGCCUUAGGGUUGUAAAGCUCUUUUACCAGGGAAGAUGAUGACGGUACCUGGAGAAUAAGCACCGGCUAACUUCGUGCCAGCAGCCGCGGUAAUACGAAGGGUGCUAGCGUUGUUCGGAAUUACUGGGCGUAAAGCGCGCGUAGGCGGCUUUUCAAGUCAGGGGUGAAAUGCCAAGGCUUAACCUUGGAACUGCCUUUGAAACUGUAAAGCUGGAGUGUCGGAGGGGAUAGCGGAAUUCCUAAUGUAGUGGUGAAAUACGUAGAUAUUAGGAGGAACACCGGUGGCGAAGGCGGCUAUCUGGACGACAACUGACGCUGAGGCGCGAAAGCGUGGGGAUCAAACAGGAUUAGAUACCCUGGUAGUCCACGCUGUAAACGAUGGGUGCUAGCCGUCGGGGGUUCCCCCUCGUGCGAGCUACGCGUUAGCACCCGCUGGGGAGUACGUCGCAGAUAAACUCAAAGAUUGACGGGACCCGCACAAGCGGUGGAACAU